rnacentral:rRNA from 1 species
UGGGGAAUAUUGCACAAUGGGCGGAAGCCUGAUGCAGCGACGCCGCGUGAGGGAUGACGGCCUUCGGGUUGUAAACUCCUUUCAGUACAGAAGAAGCUUUAUUGUGACGGUAUGUGCAGAAGAAGCGCCGGCUAACUACGUGCCAGCAGCCGCGGUAAUACGUAGGGCGCGAGCGUUGUCCGGAAUUAUUGGGCGUAAAGAGCUCGUAGGCGGUUUGUCGCGUCUGCUGUGAAAGACCGGGGCUUAACUCCGGGGCUGCAGUGGGUACGGGCAGGCUGGAGUGCGGUAGGGGUAACCGGAAUUCCUGGUGUAGCGGUGGAAUGCGCAGAUAUCAGGAGGAACACCGAUGGCGAAGGCAGGUUACUGGGCCGUUACUGACGCUGAGGAGCGAAAGCAUGGGGAGCGAACAGG